rnacentral:rRNA from 1 species
AAUCUCAACAAGAGUAUAUGGUGAAUGCCUUGACAUAAGAAGACGAUGAAGGACGUAGCAGCCUGCGAAAAGCCUCGGUUAGGUGGCAAGCAACCUUUGACCCGGGGAUCUCCGAAUGGGGAAACCUUCCCGCAAGCAGUGCGGGAGUCCGCCGAUUGAACACAUAGAUCGGUGAGACGAAUACCCGGCGAACUGAAACAUCUUAGUAGCCGGAGGAAAAGAAAAAAAGUCCCGAGCAAUCGGGAACAUUCCCUUAGUAGUGGCGAGCGAAAAGGGAUCAGCCUAAACUCUAUAAACCACGCGAUCGGAUUUCGAGCGUAGCAAUACGCGAGGAUGAUGGCCGCUGAAGGUUCUAGGACCAUAUGUUUAUAGGGAGUUGCAAGAUUAUUGCGUUCACUUCCUAGACCAAGUGAGGUAGGGUCCACGAAUAAUAACUUCCCUAGUUGAAGCGAGCUGGAAAGCUCCGCCAGAGAAGGUGAAAGCCCUGUAAGGCGAAAGGGGUUAUUACUCUACGGCAACAAUCUUAAGUAUCGCGGGGCUCGAGAAACCCCGUGUGAAUCCGGGUCGACUAUGACCCAAGGCUAAAUACUUCUUAUGAUCGAUAGUGAACAAGUACCGUGAGGGAAAGGUGAAAAGCAGCCCGGUUAGGGCGGUGAAAUAGUACCUGAAACCAUAUACUUACAAAGAGUCGGAGCCUCGAGCAAUCGGGGUGACGGCGUGCCUAUUGAAGAAUGAGCCAACGAGUUUGUUCUAUGUGGCUUGACUAACUUCCGCUUGGAAAGGAGUCAAAGUGAAAGCGAGCCUUAAUAGGGCGUUUCUAUUUAUUUUGUUGGAACACUUGCUUUGUGUUCCGGCAAAAUACUUAGAAGGUCGCAUGGACAAGACCCGAAGCCGGGUGAUCUAACCAUGGCCAGGUUGAAGUGCCGAGAAAUCGGCGCGGAGGACCGAACCCACUAGCCGUUCAAUACUAGGGGAUGAGCCGUGGUUAGCGGUGAAAUUCCAAUCGAACUCGGCGAUAGCUGGUUCUCCUCGAAAUAGCUUUUGGGCUAGCCUCAAGCGCUGACUACCGGGGGUAGAGCACUGAAUGAGGUUGGGGCCGCAAGGUACCCUCCUUAACCAAACUCCGAAUACCGGUAGGUGUAGCUUGGGAGUCAGACUAUGGGCGCUAAGGUUCAUCAGUCAAAAGGGAAACAGCCCAUGACCGCAGUCUAAGGUCCCUAAAUAUAUGCUAAGUGUAAAAGGUGGUGUCGCGACUGCGACAACUAGGAGGUUGGCUUAGAAGCAGCCAUCCUUUAAAGAAAGCGUAAUAGCUCACUAGUCAAGUUGCCGCGCGCCGAAAAUUUAACGGGGCUAAGCAUAUUACCGAAGACGCGGGUCAGCUAUGCUGACAGACACGAAACGAACGAAAAAUUUACGAAAUAAACGAAAGUUUAUUCGUGUUUUUCGUUCAAGUUUCGUUAAAUUCGUGUUUGUCAGCAUAGCUGACGGUAGAGGAGCAUUCCAUACGCAUUGAAGUCGAAUCGUGAGGUUCGGUGGAGCGUAUGGAAGCGAGAAUGUUGGCAUAAGUAGCAAAAAGGCGGGUGAGAACCCCGCCCACCGUAAGCCUCAGGGUUCCUGGGCAACGCAAAUCGACCCAGGGUUAGUCGGUCCUAAGACGAGGCCCGUGUAGUGCGGGCGUAGCCGAUGGAUGAGCUGGUUAAUAUUCCAGCACUACUGUCAGUUUCCAAUGGGGAGACGCAGUUUCAAGGUUUGAGCGCGUUUAUGGUAUGCGCGUUGCUGAUCAUUCGGUUCGAUCCAGGCAAAUCCGGAUCACCAGAACUGAGCGGUUGGCAGAAGACAAAGCCUCCGGCCGAGUCAAUUCAAGCGGAGAAGCUGCCUAGAAAAACCUCUAGGGCUAAACUGGCGGUAACCGUACCGUAAACCGACACAGGUAGGCGAGGCGAGUAGCCUCAGGUGUACGAGAGAAUCUUCGUUAAGGAACUCGGCAAAAUAGCGGCCGUAAUUUCGAGAUAAGGCCUGCCCGCCGCAAGGCGGGCCGCAGCUAAAGAGCCCAAGCGACUGUUUAUCAAAAACACAGCUCCCUGCUAACUCGUAAGAGGAUGUAUAGGGGGUGACGUCUGGCCAGUGUCCGAACGUUAAGGGGAUAGGUUAUCCUUCGGGAGAAGCCUUGAACUGAAGCGCGGAUGAACGCCGGCCGUAACUAUAACGGUCCUAAGGUAGCGAAAUUCCUUGUCGGGUAAGUUCCGACCUGCACGAAUGACGUAACGACUUGGGCACUGUCUCAACGAAGAACUCGGCGAAAUUGCAAGACCAGUAAAGAUGCUGGUUAACCAUAGUGGGACGAAAAGACCCCGUGAAGCUUUACUAUAACUUAAUAUUGGGUUAUGUAUAUGCAUGUUCAGAAUAGGUGGGAGUCCCGAGCAAUCGGGACAACAGUGAGAUACCACCCUUGUAUAUUCGUAAUUCUAACCUCUAGGCCCUUAUCGGGUCGGGGGACAGUAUUUGGCGGGUAGUUUGUCUGGGGCGGAUGCCUCCCAAAAGGUAACGGAGGCGUUUACAAAGGUCGGCUAUCCCGGAAUGGAAACCCGGGAGAUAGUGUAAAGGCACAAGCCGGCUUUACUGCAAGACCUACAAGUCGAGCAGUCGCGAAAGCGGAACUUAGUGAUCCGACCGUUCGAUAUAGGACGGCGGAAGCUCAUCGGAUAAAAGCUACUCCGGGGAUAACAGGCUGGUCACGCCCAAGCGUCCACAGCGACGGCGUGGUUCGGCACCUCGAUGUCGGCUCGUCGCAUCCUGGGGGUGUAGAAGCUCCCAAGGGUUGGGCUGUUCGCCCAUUAAAGCGGCACGCGAGCUGGGUUCAGACCGUCGUAAGACAGGUCGGUCUCCUAUCUACUAUGGUCGCGGAAACUUGAGAAGGACCUUCCCUAGUACGAGAGGACCGGGAAGGACGAAGCUCUAGUGUACCGGCUGUUCCACCAGGGGCAUUGCCGGGUAGCUAUCUUCGGUUAGGAUAAGCGCUGAAAGCAUAUAAGCGCGAAGCCGUCUUCAAGAUAAGGUUUCAUAGAGUCGCGGGAGAUUACCGCGUUGAUAGGCUCUAGGUGUAAGCCCCGUAAGGGGUUCAGCCGAGGAGUACUAAUAACUCAUUUGAUUU